rnacentral:misc_RNA from 1 species
AACGCACCUUGCGCACCUUGGUAUUCCGAGGUGCAUGCCUGUUUGAGUGUCAUGGAAUUAUCAACCUUUAUUGGCUUUUUCCACAAGGAAAAGGUGUUUACUUUAUAAGGAUUGGAUUUAUGGGAGUUGCUGGCUUCUGAGAGGUUGGCUCUUCUUAAAUGCAUUAGCAAAGAUUGUUGCUGAUCAUCUUUGAUAUGAUAAUUAUCUAUGUCAUUUUUGACCAGCCGUUUGCUUCUAACAGUCUCGUUUAGAGACAGUAUUUUUUGACUAUUUGACCUCAAAUCAGGUAGGACUACCCGCUGAACUUAA